rnacentral:ncRNA from 1 species
GUUACUAGAGGUAGAGAGCGUCCCUCUACGCGCCCUAGUGGUCAAAAGAGAUGUGGGAAAGGGGACACCCACCUAGUAAC